rnacentral:rRNA from 1 species
AUGAGGCGAACCGGGGGAACUGAAACAUCUAAGUACCCCGAGGAAAAGAAAUCAACCGAGAUUCCCCCAGUAGCGGCGAGCGAACGGGGAGGAGCCCAGAACCAUCAUCAGCUUGUGCAUCAGUGGAAGCGUCUGGAAAGUCGCAGGGUACAGGGUGAUACUCCCGUACACAAAGGUGCACAGGUUGUGAGUUCGAUGAGUAAGGCGGGACACGUGGUAUCCUGUCUGAAUAUGGGGGGACCAUCCUCCAAGGCUAAAUACUCCUGACUGACCGAUAGUGAACCAGUACCGUGAGGGAAAGGCGAAAAGAACCCCGGCGAGGGGAGUGAAACAGAACCUGAAACCGUGUACGUACAAGCAGUGGGAGCCU